GUCUUUUUGAUUUUUAUUUAAAGUCUAAUCUGCCCGAUGAAUAUUUUUCAAUGGCCGCGGUAUUUUGACCGUGCAAAGGUAGCAUAAUCAUUAGCUUUUUAACUGGAAGCUUGUAUGAAGGAUUGGACGAGAAUUUGACUGUCUCUAUUUUAAUAUUAAAAGUUUAUUUUUGAGUCAAAAAGCUCAAAUUUUUUAAAAAGACGAGAAGACCCUAUAGAUUUUUAUAUUUUGGUUAAUUUUUUAUUGUUAGAAUUUAUUUUGAAAUUGAUCACUUAUUUAAUUGGGGUGAUUAAAAAAUUUAGUUAACUUUUUUUUGUUUAUUACUAUUUAAAUGAAUUUUUGAUCCAUUUUUUAUGAUUAUAAGAUUAAAUUACCUUAGGGAUAACAGCGUAAUUUUUCUUAAAAGUUCUUAUUUUUGGAAAAGUUUACGACCUCGAUGUUGGAUUAAAAUUAAUUUUUGAUGCAGAAGUUAAAGUAUUGAGUCUGUUCGACUUUUAAAAUUUU
rnacentral:rRNA from 1 species